GUAGGUGGCAAGCGUUGUCCGGAAUUAUUGGGCGUAAAGCGCGCGCAGGCGGUUCUUUAAGUCUGAUGUGAAAGCCCACGGCUCAACCGUGGAGGGUCAUUGGAAACUGGAGAACUUGAGUACAGAAGAGGAAAGCGGAAUUCCACGUGUAGCGGUGAAAUGCGUAGAGAUGUGGAGGAACACCAGUGGCGAAGGCGGCUUUCUGGUCUGUAACUGACGCUGAGGCGCGAAAGCGUGGGGAGCAAACAGGGAUUAGAUACCCUGGUAGUCCACGCCGUAAACGAUGAGUGCUAGGUGUUAGGGGGUUUCCCGCCCCUUAGUGCUGCAGCUAACGCAUUAAGCACUCCGCCUGGGGAUACGGCCGCAAGGCUG
rnacentral:rRNA from 1 species